rnacentral:lncRNA from 1 species
CUAAAAUUUAAAAAUUAGUAUAAUUGAAUAAUCAUUUAAGAUAAUUUGAUUUAACUAUCUAAUUGAUGAUUUGAGAAAUAAAGGCGACAGAAGUUACCGCUGUUCGAAAUUCAGAAAUCGAUUAAAAAAAAAACAAAUCCGGGAAACUGAGGGAAACACAUCAAAUAUAAGAGGAGAACUACGACACAACAGAAACACAACAUUAAAAUGUAAAUAAAUAUCAAAGGUACCAGGAUUAUAAUUUUUAAAUACGCCAGACGUGCAUUUCUUCUACAUAAGACGCAUCAUUUAACAC